UACGUAGGGGGCAAGCGUUGUCCGGAUUUAUUGGGCGUAAAGAGCGUGUAGGCGGUUUGGUAGGUCCGCUGUGAAAGCGCCUGGCUUAACCGGGCGAGGUCGGCGGAAACUGUCCGACUCGAGGACGGUAGAGGGGGGUGGAAUUCCCGGUGUAGUGGUGAAAUGCGUAGAGAUCGGGAGGAACACCUGUGGCGAAGGCGGCCCCCUGGGCCGGCCCUGACACUGAGACGCGAAGGCGUGGGGAGCGAACGGG
rnacentral:rRNA from 1 species